GAUGAACGCUAGCUACAGGCUUAACACAUGCAAGUCGAGGGAACGGCGCACGGGUGAGUAACACGUAUCCAACCUGCCCUUUACUCGGGGAUAGCCUUUCGAAAGAAAGAUUAAUACCCGAUAUAAAGGAUGGGGAUGCGUUCCAUUAGGUUGUUGGUGAGGUAACGGCUCACCAAGCCUUCGAUGGAUAGGGGUUCUGAGAGGAAGGUCCCCCACAUGGGAACUGAGACACGGUCCAAACUCCUAGGGGAGGCAGCAGUGAGGUAUAUGGGGCAAUGGGCGCUUGCCUGAACCAGCCACGUAGCGUGGAGGAUCAAGAGUUAUAGGUCGUAAACUUCUUUUAUAUAAGAAUAUGUAUUAUAUGAAUAAGGAUCGGCUAACAACGUGCCAGCAGCCGCGGUAAUAC
rnacentral:rRNA from 1 species